CAGAGAUCUGCCUGCCUCUGCCUCCCAAGUGAGAGAUGCCAUACUCCGCUUGGCUGUGAUGUUUUAUCACAGCAAUAGAAACCUUACAUAAGGGGCUGGAGAGAUGGCAGUGAUUGUUCUAAAAGACCCACAUGGUGGCUCACGGCUGCCUGUAGCUUUCGUCCUAGCAGAGCCAACAACCUCUUCUGGCCUGUAUGCACAUGUUUCAGCCAGGCAUCGUGGUGCAGGACUUUAAUUCCAGCAUUAGGGAGGCAGGGGCAGGUGGAUCUCUGAAAGUUUAGGCCAGCCUCGUCUACAACAGUGAGGACCACACAGUAAGACACUGUCUCAAAAUAAAUAAAUAAGACACGAAAGAAAGAAACGCUAAUUAAGAUCCCUAGGCAGGCUUUGAACGUGGGACUCGCAGUUUCUGCCUCUCCUGUAGCUGGUGUAGCAGUCAGGUCAUAAAGGAUAUAUCCUUUAUGAGGGCACAAUUUCAUCUAGAGGAGGGACAUUCUGAUGGAAUGGAGUUCUCUUCCUCUCAAGACAGCGGCUGUCUUUGUGGGAAGGACUUCCCAGGCAUUCCACAUGAGACUUCUGCUCCUCAAAGGGGACAGCCAAGGCCUGAAGAAGUCAGGGCCUCACUGUGUAGUCCAAGCCAGCCUGAGACUCAUGGGGAUCCUUCCUCGGGUCUUCCAGGCUGGGAUUACAGACUCGGGGUGCUGGGAGGGCCCCGUUUCCUUAUUUAUAUGAAGGGCGUGGCUGCUUGCAGGUUUCCCUUCUUGAUUUCCUUUCUUUGUCCUGAGCCUCCGCAAAAACCUCUAAGUUCCCAGCAAACUGCACAUCAUCUUCACAGAAUUGAUAUGCAGGAGGAGGAAACGCAGAGUUGCCCGAGUAAGUGACUGACUCAAGACCACUCGGCCAGGAAGGAGCGACACAGGGAUCUAGAGCCUCGUGGGACUUAGCCGUGUCCCAGUGGUCGCUAUGUCCCCGCCUAAGAUCAUCCCAUGAGCUGAGCACUGUUGUGCUUUCCUCUAGUCCCAGCACUCAGGAGGACCUUACGUUGGAGCCCAGGCUGGCCUUGAACUCACAGCAAUGCUGCCUCAGUUUCCUACAUGCUGGUUUGGAGGUGCAUCGCAGCAAGCAGCCAUGCCGCCUUCCCACAGAUCUGAGCAGAUGAGCCAGCGCGCCCUUGCUGGCGUUACGAAGCUUAUCGGUCUUUCUUUGGUGUUACCGAGCACGUGGUUUGAACCUGCUGUCCCGGCACUUGCAGGCUGGGGCAGGAGGAUCACUUCAAGUUAGCAGCCAGCCUACCCUACAGAGGGGUUUCCAGCCUUCUCAGAAGCAUCUGGGAAAGGUCUGCCUCAAAAACCAGACAAACAGGCUAGCGACGAGGCUCAGGGGUUAAGACUGUGGGGUGCACCUGAAAUGCCAGCGUGGGGCCUCAAGAAUUCAAGGCCAGCUUGAGCUGCACAGACCCCUGCCUCAAUAGUGCUGUGGCAUGCCCCUUCAAUCCCAGCACUCAGAAGGCAGAGGCAGUCAGAGCUCUGGGAGUUCAAAGCUGACCUGGUCUACAUAGUGAGUUGCAGGCCAGCCAGGGAUAUAUAGUGGACUCUGUCUGUAAUAAAUCCAUAGAUAAAAUAUUUUCUUUUUUUAAAAGCAAAAAUCUUAGCGAGGGAGUCGGGCCUGGUGUGCGAUGACAAGUCUGUCCCUCCAGAGCUACUCUGAACAAAACAACGGGAGAUUAAAUCAGGCCCAAGGAUAAAUGGCCCACGCAGGUGGACGAGCUGCCGCCAGCCAGCGCCUUGACAGCGCACUUGAUUUUAUAAGUAGGGGAACGCUCUAAGAUAAUGACAGGUGCAGCAGAGAAGCCACACAAAGAGUAGCCUCACGGUUCGCCACAGCCAGGUGUUGCAACUGUGCCUAAUUACACGGGCUGCGUGUUUACCCCACAGGGACACGGGCAUGAGCACCAGCAGUGAGUGACUAACCCCUUGCGUUAUGGUGCCACAGCGGCCUCGUCACCAGGGGAUAGGGGAUGUUCCACUCCACCCCUCAGAUGCACUCCAACUGAUGCUAACACACAGACUUUGACUGACAGCCCUCAGCCCCUCCCUCCUUAGCAGGGACUAUGUGGCAGAAUAGAUACGGAUGCUGAAACGAUUUUUUCCCCCCCCCUUGGUGUUUUGAGACAGGAUCUCAUGUAGCCCAGGCUGGCUUUGAAUUCUCACCUCCGCCUCCCGUGUGUGGAAAUGAAGCAGAAACUUCUGCAAGUCCUCCUCAGAGCAUAUGCUCCUGGUAGUGGGGUGGGGUGGGGGACAAUAAGCAGACAGAGCCGCUUGUCAGGACGGGGAGGACCCUGUCCAGAGCCCGAUAAUUCUCAACAGCAGCAGCAGCAAGCUGGAGCGGCAGAGGAUGAGGUGAGUUAAGGAGGGAAGAUCAAGGCUCAGCAGGCAGAGGCUGUCGGAACAGUUUAACAUCAGCUCAGGGAGAAGCAGCCACUAUGGGUGAUGUCUGACUGGAUUUUCCCAGAAUGCCGCCUUCUCGUCCUGGACCACAGAGGAGUGGAGGGUAGAAGGAGGGAGAGCUGAAAAAGGCAGCCGUCCUGACGGGAGACAAUGGCGGCUGAGUCCAGGGUAGGAGACAGAGGGGAGAACAGACAGAUCCCGAGUCACAGUGUGGCCGCAGUGACAGGACUGGAAAACAGUGAGCGGGCACAGGCAGCUCCUGGCUGGAGAGGUGGCUCAGCAGUUAAGAGCACUGACUGCUCUUCCAGAGAUUCUGAGUUCAAUUCCCAGCACCCACAUGGUGGCUCACAACCACCUGUCAUGGGAUCUGAUGCCCUCUUCUGGUGCGUCUGAAGACAGCUACAGUGUACUCACAUACAAAAAAUAAAUAAAUCUUUAAAAAAGUAGACUUUAUAAAAAAAUAAAAUAAA